UACGAAGGGGGCUAGCGUUGCUCGGAAUCACUGGGCGUAAAGCGCACGUAGGCGGAUUGCUAAGUCAGGGGUGAAAUCCUGGAGCUCAACUCCAGAACUGCCUUUGAUACUGGCGACCUUGAGUCCGGGAGAGGUGAGUGGAACUGCGAGUGUAGAGGUGAAAUUCGUAGAUAUUCGCAAGAACACCAGUGGCGAAGGCGGCUCACUGGCCCGAUACUGACGCUGAGGCACGAAAGCGCGGGGAGCAAACAGG
rnacentral:rRNA from 1 species